UUUUUCUUUCUUCACAAUUAUUAUUUAUGUAAUUUAAUUUGCAGACUUACAAGGAUGAGCACUCAAAGUCAACUGCUUACAGACGCCUGCCCGCGCACACCUUUAUAGGCAUGUGAUGCAGGUAGGCCGAUGGCCUGGCAAAGCGAUUAAAAAGACAUUGAGGCUAGCCAACAGGUAGUUAGCCUGUCGGCCUGGACAUGCAGGCGCGUGUCGGUGUGCGCGCGACCCGUCGCAACGGCCGUGGCCCACGGUGCCAAAAGCUUUCUAAUGGCAACGGCAACUUUGGUAAAGCUUUGAUUUGAAACUUGGCUGCGAGAGCGUGUGAGAAAGAGAGCGAUAGAGCGAGAGAGAGAGGAAGGAAGACAGAGCCGCGCGCAGCUCUGCUGCGCUGCGAUAAGCGCAGUUGGCUUUUCUGCUUUGUGUUCACGAUUCUAAACAAAGCCCAACGCAUUUGCUCUUAAGUCAUGUGUGCGCGAUUGCCUUUGACGCGAGGCAGCUCCCGUCACGUACGAUCUUAGGCAGACUUUGGCGUCUCUUUGCACACACACACACACACACACAUGCAAAUGUGCAUAUAUGCAUAAGCGCAUCCAAUGGAUGCAAAUGCUUGCAUCCCACUGCCCAGAGACCCCCUCCCAGAGACCAAUGCCAAUGCCAAUUGCGUUUUAAUUUCAAGAUUUGUGACAGCGUCAACUUUAUCACGAGCAAGUCAAAUGCAUGCUCCAACGUUGAGUCACGCGCUGAGGCUCAUUAUAGAUGUGUGUGUGUGUGUGUGUGUGUGUAAAGCUCCCCUUUUUAGCAAAUUGGGGCACACGCAAAUGAGCUGCAGAUCUGGCUGACAAUGGAGGAGAGAGGGGAGAGAGGGAGGCAGAGAGGUAGCCACAAUCAGGUCUUACAAAUUGUGUCAGUGUGUCAUGUUUGACUCUUGUUUCAUUUUGUUGUUGUUGUUGUUGUUUUAUUUUUUCUCUGAGACGCGAGCUCUCGUCAAAUGUGCAGGUAAAUGCAAAUAACACAAGGAAGUCAAGCAAAUAAAGCGAAAAGCAAAAA